UACGGGGGAUGCAAGCGUUAUCCGGAAUGAUUGGGCGUAAAGCGUCCGUAGGUGGCUAUGUAAGUCUGCUGUCAAAGCGUCUGGCUCAACCAGAUAAAGGCAGUGGAAACUACAUAGCUAGAGUAAGGUAGGGGUAGAGGGAAUUCCUGGUGUAGCGGUGAAAUGCGUAGAGAUCAGGAAGAACACCGGUGGCGAAAGCGCUCUGCUGGACCUUAACUGACACUGAGGGACGAAAGCUAGGGGAGCGAAUGGG
rnacentral:rRNA from 1 species